UACGUAGGUGGCAAGCGUUGUUCGGAAUUACUGGGCGUAAAGCGCGUGUAGGCGGCUCUUCAAGUCAGACGUGAAAGCCCCGGGCUUAACUCGGGAACUGCGUUUGAUACUGUCGAGCUAGAGUGUGGAAGGGGCGAUUGGAAUUCCGUGUGUAGCGGUGAAAUGCGCAGAUAUCAGGAAGAACACCUAUGGCGAAGGCAGCUCUCUGGGACGGUACUGACGCUGAGACGCGAAAGCGUGGGGAGCGAACAGG
rnacentral:rRNA from 1 species